UCCCCUGUAGCACAACUGGCAGUUGCAACGGACUGUUAAUCCGUGGGUUGAAGGUUCGAGUCCUUCCGGGGGAG
rnacentral:tRNA from 1 species